rfam:Heligmosomoides polygyrus genome assembly, scaffold: HPBE_scaffold0012958
GCGCCGGUGGUGUAAUGGCGUAGGGCGUUCCCGCCCGGUUACAGGGAGGUGCGGGUUCGAGUCCCGCCUGGCGCU